rnacentral:rRNA from 1 species
AACGAACGCUGGCGGCAUGCCUAACACAUGCAAGUCGAACGAGACCUUCGGGUCUAGUGGCGCACGGGUGCGUAACGCGUGGGAACCUGCCUUUAGGUUCGGAAUAACUCAGAGAAAUUUGAGCUAAUACCGGAUAAUGUCUUCGGACCAAAGAUUUAUCGCCUUUAGAUGGGCCCGCGUUGGAUUAGCUAGUUGGUGGGGUAAAGGCCUACCAAGGCGACGAUCCAUAGCUGGUCUGAGAGGAUGAUCAGCCACACUGGGACUGAGACACGGCCCAGACUCCUACGGGAGGCAGCAGUGGGGAAUAUUGGACAAUGGGCGAAAGCCUGAUCCAGCAAUGCCGCGUGAGUGAUGAAGGCCUUAGGGUUGUAAAGCUCUUUUACCCGAGAUGAUAAUGACAGUAUCGGGAGAAUAAAGCUCCGGCUAACUCCGUGCCAGCAGCCGCGGUAAU